UUUUGCCAUUAAAAUACUUCUCAGACGUCACCAAAUUUAGACGGAUUUGGAAUGGGACUCUGGCGGGCACUCGUCAAGCCCAAAGGCCGGCGGCGGUUUGACCCGCGGGCCCGCCAAAGCAACGAUGGUAAGGUACACAUUGGGUGGGAGGUUCGGGACCGAGGCCCCUAUUCUCUAUAAUGAUCCUUCCGCAGGUUCACCUACGGAAA
rnacentral:misc_RNA from 1 species